rnacentral:rRNA from 1 species
GCGGCCUAUCAGCUUGUUGGUGAGGUAAUGGCUCACCAAGGCGACGACGGGUAGCCGGCCUGAGAGGGCGACCGGCCACUCUGGGACUGAGACACGGCCCAGACUCCUACGGGAGGCAGCAGUGGGGAAUAUUGGGCAAUGGACGAAAGUCUGACCCAGCGACGCCGCGUGAGGGAUGAAGGCCUUCGGGUUGUAAACCUCUUUCAGCAGGGAAGAAGCGAAAGUGACGGUACCUGCAGAAGAAGCACCGGCUAACUAUGUGCCAGCAGCCGCGGUAAUACAUAGGGUGCAAGCGUUGUCCGGAAUUAUUGGGCGUAAAGAGCUCGUAGGUGGUUAGUUACGUCGGAUGUGAAAAUCUAGGGCUCAACCCUAGACCUGCAUCCGAUACGGGCUAGCUUGAGUUUGGUAGGGGAGACUGGAAUUCCU